rnacentral:rRNA from 1 species
UCUUCCCUCUUUCUUCGUGCUUAACACAUGCAAGUCGAACGAAGCAUUUGCGACAGAUUUUUUCGGAAUGAAGUUGCUUAUGACUGAGUGGCGGACGGGUGAGUAACGCGUGGGUAACCUGCCUUGUACUGGGGGAUAGCAGCUGGAAACGGCUGGUAAUACCGCAUAAGCGCACAAUGUUGCAUGACAUGGUGUGAAAAACUCCGGUGGUAUAAGAUGGACCCGCGUCUGAUUAGCUAGUUGGUGAGAUAACAGCCCACCAAGGCGACGAUCUGUAGCCGACCUGAGAGGGUGACCGGCCACAUUGGGACUGAGACACGGCCCAGACUCCUACGGGAGGCAGCAGUGGGGAAUAUUGCACAAUGGAGGAAACUCUGAUGCAGCGACGCCGCGUGAGUGAAGAAGUAAUUCGUUAUGUAAAGCUCUAUCAGCAGGGAAGAUAGUGACGGUACCUGACGAAGAAGCUCCGGCUAAAUACGUG